CCGGCGCCCCCGCUCGGGGCCACCGAAGGGUCUGGGGGCUCGGGGAGGGGGGAGGCGCGAUCCGAGUCCGUGGGAGCCUCCCCAGCCCCGCAGUCCCAGCAGCACACCGAGCUUGGUCGGACGGAUGCUCGCGCUGAGCCCUUCACGCCACCCCUGCGGAGACCCGGGAAGAGGUAAAACCUGAGCCCCUUUGGCACAAGAUGGGGGUGCCACGUGGGAUCUGGCCUUGACCGUGACAUUCUUGAUUCCACUUCCUGCCGCGCUGUUUUCUCCGCCACUACCCUGCGGUGGCGGGUCCGAAGCUGAGAGAAGAGCUAAUUUGGGAGCCCUGACUCCCAAGCUAGCAAGAAGCUACCGAAAUCCUUCACGAAUCCAGAGCUUUGAGAAGGGCAGCUCUACCUGCACUCCUGAGUUUAGGAAACCUGCGCGCAGAUCAGGGAGAUGCGGAAGCAUCAACCGGACAGCUUGUGUGGAUCCCGUGCCCACGGUGGAGACAGCUUUACUGGAAGCUCUGCCUUCGGGGAGUAAGAAAAGCUGAUGAAGAAUGACACUUCCGUCCUUUCAUCCACUAAAAAACAGGUGGCGGGACUUCCCUGGCGGUCCACUGGUUAAGACUCCAUGCUUCCAAUGCAGGGGGUGCAGGUUUGAUCCCUGGUCGGGGAACUAAGAUCCCACAAGCCGCGCAGCGCAGCAAAACCAACCAACCAACCAACCAACCAACAAAAGUAGGUGUGUGGACUGGACCCUGGAACAAAGGACAUUAGUGGAAAAACUGGUGAAAUCCAAAUAAGUCUGGAGUUUAUAUCAUCGUAUUGUAGAAACGUUAACUUCCUAGUUUUGAAAAAUGUACCAUGGUUGUAUAACGCGUUAAUGUUUGGGGAAUCUGGAUGAAGGGUAUACGGAACUCUGUACUACCUGCAAUU